AAGAUUUAUAUUUUGGGUGAUUUCAAGAGUUUUGUAAUAGAUCUAAAAGUGAAAUUUUGUGGAUUUAUGGUUAUAGUUGUGUUUAAUAUGUGUUGUAAAUUUGAGCUCAAUCUAAUGGUUAAAUUGAGGAAUAUUGAGAUUUAAGUGGGUCAAGGUCUUAGAAAGUAGAAUUUUAGGUCUAGUGGGGAUUUUUAAGAUUUCUUGCAAUCUACUAGUUGGAUUGGAGU
rnacentral:lncRNA from 1 species